CGAUACUAAAUCCGAUAAAAA
rnacentral:piRNA from 1 species